UACGUAGGGGGCUAGCGUUGUCCGGAUUUAUUGGGCGUAAAGAGCGUGUAGGCGGCCAGGUAGGUCUGCUGUGAAAACUCGAGGCUCAACCUCGAGACGUCGGCGGAAACCAUCUGGCUAGAGUCCGGAAGAGGAGAGUGGAAUUCCUGGUGUAGCGGUGAAAUGCGUAGAUAUCAGGAGGAACACCUGUGGCGAAAGCGGCUCACUGGACCAUAACUGACGCUGAUGCACGAAAGCUAGGGGAGCAAACAGG
rnacentral:rRNA from 1 species